UCGGGUGGAGGCCGGGUGGGUGGAGGGGCGUCGCAAGAGGGAACCCGGUGUGAUUCCGGGACUGCCCCGCAGCGGUAUGUGGGAACGAACGCCGUCACCACGCACUGGGUGGUAGGUCCGCCUGGGAAGCGACGGCCAGUAGGUUCACCGGUCCUCCGGGACGGGUAGGUGCCCACGAGUCCGAAGACCUGCCCACCGCCCGUGUGCCGU
rnacentral:ncRNA from 2 species